rnacentral:RNase_P_RNA from 1 species
AAGGUAAGCUAGAUGAUCGCGGGCGGCUGAAAGGCCGCUUGAGGAAAGUCCGGGCUCCAUAGGACAUGACGCCGGGUAACACCCGGGAGCGGUAACGCUAUAGAGAGCACCACAGAAAAUAUACCGCCGGCUAGCCGG